rnacentral:rRNA from 1 species
GAUGAACGCUAGCGGAGGCUUAACACAUGCAAGUCGUGGGGCAGCACGGGGUAGCAAUAUCCUGGUGGCGACCGGCGCACGGGUGAGUAACGCGUAUGCAACCUACCCAGUACAGGGGGAUAGCCUGGAGAAAUUCGGAUUAAUACCCCAUAAUGAUAUUAAGAGGCAUCUUUUAAUAUUUAAAGCUACGGCGGUACUGGAUGGGCAUGCGUAAGAUUAGCUAGUUGGUAGGGUAACGGCCUACCAAGGCUCCGAUCUUUAGGGGUCCUGAGAGGGUGAUCCCCCAUACUGGUACUGAGACACGGACCAGACUCCUACGGGAGGCAGCAGUGAGGAAUAUUGGUCAAUGGGCGCAAGCCUGAACCAGCCAUCCCGCGUGAAGGAAGAAUGCGCUAUGCGUUGUAAACUUCUUUUCCGGAGGAAUAAAAUUUUGUACGAGUACAGGACUGAAGGUACUCCGGGAAUAAGCAUCGGCUAACUCCGUGCCAGCCGCCGCCGUAACAC